rnacentral:rRNA from 1 species
CCUACGGGUGGCAGCAGUGAGGAAUAUUGGUCAAUGGACGAGAGUCUGAACCAGCCAAGUAGCGUGAAGGAUGACUGCCCUCUGGGUUGUAAACUUCUUUUAUAAAGGAAUAAAACGAGGCACGUGUGCCUUUUUGCAUGUACUUUAUGAAUAAGGAUCGGCUAAAUCCGUGCCAUCAGCCGCGGUAAUACGGAGGAUCCGAGCGUUACCCGGAUUUAUUGGGUUUAAAGGGAGCGUAGGUGGGUUGUUAAGUCAGUUGUGAAAGUUUGCGGCUCAACCGUAAAAUUGCAAUUGAUACUGGCAGUCUUGAGUACAGUUGAGGUAGGCAGAAUUCGUGGUGUAGCGGUGAAAUGCAUAGAUAUCACGAAGAACCCCGAUGGCGAAGGCAGCUUACUAA